UAUCUAUCUAUCUCUCUUAUACUGUCACUGAUAUCAGCAUUUCCACGAAUAUUUCGUUUCUUCAAAAACGUUCUCCAGUCUGAAGAUAGUUGGCGGUACCUUCGAUUAUGACCAUGACCCAUUAAACGAACAAAAAUAAAUAUAAUAUACAUAUAUUUGCAAAACAUAUACCAGAAGAUUGUCCGGAUAAUUAAACUGAUCGGAUUGUAAUAUAAAUGUGAUAUUCAAAGUAAAAUAAAUCUUGCUAAUAAUUGUAAUUAAUUUUGAUCGAUUAGAAUUUUGUUUGCUAUAGUAAAAAAAAAAAUUAUUCACAAAUUACAUAACACUAUUUACGAGAUGUAGAGAGAUAUGAAUAUAAUUUACAUAAUUUAAAGAUUAUUAUAUAUAUCAAAAAAUGAUUUCGUAACGUAAUGUUAGAAAAUGCAUAAGUAAUUAAAGGUAAUACUAUGCUAUACUUGUAACAAAAAUCGAGAUAGACAUUCGUUUUCGAAAUAGCUAAAAUGUAAAUUUACGAAUAUCAAAUUCAUUGUCUAAAUCUUAUGCAAAUAUCAAGAGAUUAUUCUCGAAGAAAUAUUGAAUCGAAAAUUGGGUUCGAUUUCGAGAUGGAUUAUUCGAUGGAAGAGACAUAAAACGGCGCAGCACCAGUCUCUGGAUCCUGGACCUCAGAUGCUGCGUCCAAAAAUAAAAUCUCUGCCGAAUUGGUGAUCAGAAAUAGUCCCGUUCGGAACGGAUGUCGUUGACAGAGGUUGCUCACAUUGGCCCAGCAAUGGGCAAUUAUUGGAACUCAUCCAUUGCUAAUAUUCACCCACGUGAAUCACAAUGAUGUCGCAAACUUGUUUUUUUUAAUUCGCUAACAUACGAUCUAAUUAAAAGCACCAAUAGCACUAACAUCUCGAAUAUUUGUUAUAUCCAAAUAGCAAAAAAAAUGUGGAUUUCUAUUUAGAGUAGAAUCCAUUCUACAUAUCGAGUGAUUAAUAUUUUUCCGUACAAACUUAUCUAGCCAAAUUCAAUGAAUAAGAUCUAUAAGAGUAAAAUCAAUACUCACCGACAAAUCCCGAAGUAAACGUCAGUGUAAUCAAUGGUGAAAUUUAACGUGCUCUGAUCAAACAAAUUCACUCGAAAUGGCUUCGUAAACGCACUUCUGAUAUAAUCCUUGUGCUCCUUUUUAUGGAUGUGCAAUUUUCGCUAAAAUCUCUCCUGAAGAAUAAUAUAAAUGGUAAUAAUGUAGAGCACUAAAAAAAAACUUUAUCGAAUAAAUUUGUCCACGAUCCAAAUACAGAAACGUAAGUAAAAAAAUCGUACGAAGAAAAAACGAACCAAAGCGUCUAUCGUAGGAGAACCGAAUCGUCUAUCUCCAGUCCGUGACCAAGUUCAUGAAGAGACUGUCUUCAACACCGUGUCAUUGGUCCACGGUAGGCGCCGCGACGCUAGCCGGCGCUUUUAUAUUUAACUUUUGCAUCAUUCGACGUACGAUUUAACGGCAGCCGCUUCCCCUGCUCUACCAUUACUCUUUCUUCUUCUAUCUCUUUUCUUUUUUCUUAUCCUGUUCUUACCUCUCCUCUCGACUCUUCUUCGUAACCGCCCUAUUUUCUUGUGCUUUUUACUUCGAUGAUGGCACGUGCUACGUUCGGCUUCUAAUGACGUUACUUACAUUUAUAGCUCAUCGAUAAUUUUGGUCAGCCAUUCGUUUGUAGAUGAAGAAUAAAAUUCAUUGAGAAUAUCAAUAAUUCAAUUGUUCGAGAUGAUUUGGAAAUAAGAAACCAAUUACCUUAAUAAACCAAUUUGUAAUACGAUA